AGGGUGUAAACGCUGCAGACUUGGUGUUGGGAACCUUCGGGGUGCUCAGUGCCGGAGAGAAGUUGUUAAGUCUGCUACUUGGGGAGUACGUCCGCAAGGAUGAAACUUAAAGGAAUUGGCGGGGGGAGGCACCGCAACGGGAGGAGCGUGCGGUUUAAUUGGAUUCAACACCGUAAAGCUCACCAGGGAAGACUGUUACAUGAAGGCCGAGAUGAAGACUCUGCUAGAUUUUCAGAGAGGUGGUGCAUGGCGUCAGUGACU
rnacentral:rRNA from 1 species